GAAAAUGGGUAACGGGAAAAGUCGUUACACGCACACCAUUACAGUCGGGAUGACUUCUCGGGAGGGGUUUUUUAGUGCCUCGCCGGUAUCACUCUAAUCAGUCUUGAGAUAUCUUGCAAAAAGAACAGUUGAAUUUCACCGAGGAUCGCCAAAAGUCACAAAAAAUCUAUCAAAAUGUUCAAGCAGCACCUGGAAAUGAUCGGAAGCUACGAGCCAAUCAGCAAGAAGGCUCGCUUCUUCAACACCUACCUGAAGUCGUUGAAGGGAUCCCAGGACAUCAUGGCCAAGGAGA